GAUGAACGCUGGCGGCGUGCCUAAUACAUGCAAGUCGAGCGAACGGACGAGAAGCUUGCUUCUCUGAUGUUAGCGGCGGACGGGUGAGUAACACGUGGAUAACCUACCUAUAAGACUGGGAUAACUUCGGGAAACCGGAUCUAAUACCGGAUAAUAUUUUGAACCUCAUGGUUCAAAAGUGAAAGACGUUCUUGCUGUCACUUAUAGAUGGAUCCGCGCUGCAUUAGCUAGUUGGUAAGGUAACGGCUUACCAAGGCAACGAUGCAUAGCCGACCUGAGAGGGUGAUCGGCCACACUGGAACUGAGACACGGUCCAGACUCCUACGGGAGGCAGCAGUAGGGAAUCUUCCGCAAUGGGCGAAAGCCUGACGGAGCAACGCCGCGUGAGUGAUGAAGGUCUUCGGAUCGUAAAACUCUGUUAUUAGGGAAGAACAUAUGUGUAAGUAACUGUGCACAUCUUGACGGUACCUAAUCAGAAAGCCACGGCUAACUACGUG
rnacentral:rRNA from 1 species